rnacentral:rRNA from 1 species
CAGCAGCCGCGGUAAAACGAAGGGGGCUAGCGUUGCUCGGAAUGACUGGGCGUAAAGGGCGCGUAGGCGGCAUAUACAGUCAGGCGUGAAAUUCCCGGGCUUAACCUGGGGGCUGCGUUUGAUACGUAUGGGCCAGAGUGGGGAAGAGGGUCGUGGAAUUCCCAGUGUAGAGGUGAAAUUCGUAGAUAUUGGGAAGAACACCGGUGGCGAAGGCGGCGACCUGGUCCUUGACUGACGCUGAGGCGCGAAAGCGUGGGGAGCAAACAGGAUUAGAUACCCCCGUAGUCCCUGUCUCUUAUAC